rnacentral:tRNA from 1 species
AAACAAUAGCAUUUUAAAUGCGUAUCGGUUUCGACCCGGUAAGAGCGAUCACACGCAUUGUUUU